GUGGCGAGUGGCGCACUGGGUGAGUAAUACAUCGGAACGUGCCUAGUCGUGGGGGAUAACGUAGCGAAAGUUACGCUAAUACCGCAUACGAUCUAUGGAUGAAAGCGGGGGACCGUAAGGCCUCGCGCGAUUGGAGCGGCCGAUGUCAGAUUAGGUAGUUGGUGGGGUAAAGGCCCACCAAGCCGACGAUCUGUAGCUGGUCUGAGAGGACGACCAGCCACACUGGGACUGAGACACGGCCCAGACUCCUACGGGAGGCAGCAGUGGGGAAUUUUGGACAAUGGGCGCAAGCCUGAUCCAGCCAUUCCGCGUGCAGGACGAAGGCCUUCGGGUUGUAAACUGCUUUUGUACGGAACGAAAAGGUCCUGGUUAAUACCCGGGGCUCAUGACGGUACCGUAAGAAUAAGCACCGGCUAACUACGUGCCAGCAGCCGCGGUAAUACGUAGGGUGCAAGCGUUAAUCGGAAUUACUGGGCGUAAAGCGUGCGCAGGCGGUUAUGUAAGACAGAUGUGAAAAUCCCGGGGCUCACCUGGGAACUGCAUUUGUGACUGCAUAGCUAGAGUA
rnacentral:rRNA from 1 species